UGAAAUCUGGCCCUCGUGGUCCGAGUUGUAAUUUGUAGAGGAUGCUUUUGGUGAGGUGCCUUCCGAGUUCCCUGGAACGGGACGCCAUAGAGGGUGAGAGCCCCGUCUGGUUGGACACCGAGCCUCUGUAAAGCUCCUUCGACGAGUCGAGUAGUUUGGGAAUGCUGCUCUAAAUGGGAGGUAUAUGUCUUCUAAAGCUAAAUACCGGCCAGAGACCGAUAGCGCACAAGUAGAGUGAUCGAAAGAUGAAAAGCACUUUGAAAAGAGGGUUAAAUAGUACGUGAAAUUGUUGAAAGGGAAGCGCUUGUGACCAGACUUGAGCCCGGUUAAUCAUCCAGCCUUCUGGCUGGUGCACUUGGCCGGCUCAGGCCAGCAUCAGUUCGGCGCGGGGGAUAAAGGCUUCGGGAAUGUGGCUCCUCCGGGAGUGUU
rnacentral:rRNA from 1 species